rnacentral:rRNA from 1 species
ACAGCUACAACAUAGCGUACCUUUUGCAUAAUGGGUCAGCUACUUAAUAAACGUAAGAAAAGCAAACAGCUUACUGAUUUCUGUUAAA